rnacentral:snoRNA from 1 species
CUGAUCGACUAUGAAGAUCUGAUCUCCUAUAUCAUCACCAGCCUCGACGAAGAAUAUGAACUUGUCAUGUCAUCCAUAAUCCGGCGAUCUAAUCUCAUAGUGGGAGAGCCCUUCGCCCAGCUGCUCAACUUCGAAC